GUGUGAUUUUUCUAUAUGUUAUAAAUUCUGUCUCUCUGAUGUUAAUGAGGGAGGAUGGGUGCCAGUUGUGUUAGUGAGGCAGGACUGGAUUGUGUCUUCAGGCAAUCUCUCGAGAUAUAAUAGAAAGAAACAAGCAGACAGGGGGACUUCAUACCACCAAGAAAGUAGUGCUGGAAGCAGAGUGCAUCCUUUGGACCUGGGGUCCCUGUACCUGAGAAACUCCUCAACCAGGGGAAGAUUGAGGACAAGGACCUUCCUCCAGAGCCGACAGAGAACGAAAGCCUUCCUCUGGAGCUGAUUCCCUGAAUUGGACUUUACCCUUCUUUACUGUGAGGAAACAAAUUUCUCUUUGUUAAAGCCACCCACUUGUGGUAUUUCUGUUAUGGCAGCACUAAAUGACUAAAACAGAACUUGGUACCGGGAGAGGGAAGUUGCUCUAACAGAUACCUAAAAUGUGGAAGUGGUUUUGAAACCGUGAGUGGAUAGAGAAGCGACAGCAACAGAGGUCUAGUGCAGCAGAGAAGUGGCAGCAGCAGAACUAGGAGACCAACGUGAGAUGGCGCUGGAGCUGACCCACAGAGAGAGCUGAGUGCCUGUGUACAGGAGGCUUCCUGGAGGAGGACGGUGCUCCAGACACUUAUCAGUGGAGCCACUGAGCUUUGGAACACUUGCAUCAGCAGGAUAGAUGCAGGCGUGAGGCCCCAGAGCCAACAGGCCAAGAAACCAGGAAACAGAAGCUAAAGAGACAAGAAACACAAGAAGCUGAGCUGCCUCAGUCUCAAAAGAUUCCAGUCACCAGGAACUAUCAAUGCAUCCUGACUGCAUGUUUGAUCAAUUUCAGAAUGCAGAAGCCAGUAAAAGUCUUUGGUUUCUUCAUCUUUGGCAUAAGUGGCUGUUGCAUAAAUUUGAAUACUAGUCGUAUUGACUGGUCUUCCUUGGAGAUCCUGAGAUUCAGGAUGAUUAAAAGAAUUAUUGCAAGUUGUGCCCAGAGUCAGAGAUGAAACUCAGCCCUUCUGACUCAAGAGUCAGAGAUGAAACUCAGCUCUUCUGACUCAAGAGUCAGAGAAGAAACUCAGCCCUUUUGACUCUUCAGAGAUGAAAUUCAGCCCUUCUGACUCAAGAUCCCAUCCUCUUUCCAUCAAGUGCAAUAGCAUCUUUUGUGUUAAGAAAAGAAAAAGGAAAUUAUAUACACACACACACAUCCUUGGAGAUAAUUCAUAACCCAAAAACUCAAGCUGAAAUGUCUAAUGCUAUGACAUACAAAUUAAUGUCUACCUGCAAUGAGUGUAACUUUGCUUGGAAAUGGGAAUAGACUGAAUAGUGACUUGAAAUCCUUCACAAACCUAAGAAUCUGAUUUUGUUUUGUUUUUUGAGAUCUAACCCUGCUUUUCUUCAUCUACUGUUGAGACCUGCAAGGUUCUCCUUAAUGAAGCCAAGAGCAGUACCUGUUGCCAAAGUUAUCUUGCAUUUGUUCCUAAUGCAGGUGGUUGAAGCUUGCAUUAUGCUGAAACAAAACAGCAGUUUAUGUGUUGGAAACCUCCCGUGUCUGUCAAAGCAAGUUGACACCACAUCAACAGCAAGCUGCUUCAAUUGUCACAGUGAAUUCCCUAGCUAUUUGCAAACUGUUUGGAAGUAUGAAAGGGGGAAGCAUAAACAAUUCACCAAAUUAACAAACUGUUUCAGCAUUUUGGAAUAGAGUUAUUAUGUUUUUAAGUCAUGUGUCUUCUAAAAUUAAAGCACAUGAAAAUGCUAAAUUUAAGAUACCUGGACUCCAAACCGUCAGAAGACUGAAGUUAGGCUUGUUAUCCAGGAGUGACUGUUUUAUUUCUUCUUCCCAUUGCAAUGAAUUUGUAAAGAAGGUUAAGAUCACAGUCAUCAUUCUGCUAUUUAGAAGCUCUCUUGUCCCUCAGGACAAUUUGUCCACCAAAAAAAAAAAAAAAAAAAAAACUACCCAUAUACCAGUUUACAAUCAAAAAGAUUUUCCUCUUAUUCCCAAACAGAAUGGAGGGGACAGCAUUCCUGUCCCCACCUGCCGGUACAGUCACCUUGCUUUUGUGUUUCUUGAACAUGGUAAACUCUGGGUGGAAAGCAGAUAAACUGAUUGAGACCAAACAACAGUGGCAAAAUUGCCCUUUUUGGACAAUUUAUUUCUGGCUCCGAUGUAGAUUCUGCUUCUAAAACAAGGAAUUCUAAUCUUGGUUUCCUUGAUGCUUGAAGUCAUCACAAUGCCUCAGCUUCUCCAUCUCUAAAGCAAAGACUGUGAUGUUUUUGGGUCCGCUAAUUUGCAUAGGAGCAGAAAUAUAAAUAUCUUUAUGAUGUAUCCCCUAAAUAUUUUUAGGAGAAAAUGAUCAUUUUUGUGAAGCACCAUCAUCAUUACUAGAGAGAAGGAGAAAAUGAGCUAACCAAUUUACAUAUUUACAGUUUAUCUAAAUUUAAAUAACAAGAAAAGAUGUUCUAAAACUGUUAAUUAUUAAAUGUCAGUGCCCUAUCAAGUCAGUGGAUAUCUUUUGGGCAUGUGUGUUUGGUUGGGGAAAGAAGCUGUGUGUUGUGUGUGUGUUUUGAGUGUGAUUAAGAACUAAAAUCAUCUGGGAGAAUCCAUGCAGCAACAUCUUCACUAUACAGUGGUAGUUCUUUGGUAUCCAGGUGUUGCUAUCUACUUUACGCCACCAACUUACCCUGUAUCCCAUGACUUGCAAUAUUUAGUGCCUUUUUUAAAUUAUGCCUCUAGCUGCAUUUUUGUGUGGCUGGUUUCUAAUCUAGGUUACUAAACAAAUAAAUCAUUCUAUGAUAUACACUUGCAGCUUUAAGGUGAUGAAGACAAGGGCACAGGCCAGGUUUUAUAUUCAUCUCACAUCCUACUCCAACACCUAGUACAAUGUAUGGUACUCAAUAAAUGUUUCUUGAAGGGAAAUUAAAUACUAAAUAGAGAUGGAGAUUGUGAUUAUGGAAGUGAGGGCUGGUGGCUGCUGCAAUUGAGGAUGGGGUCCCUGAGUCCCAACUAGGAAAAUUGCUUUUGUGUUCAUUCAGUUUCUGUUUGUGUGACUGCAGAUCGACUGAUAAACAAUUUAGCAACCUAAUGCACUGAAGAGAGAUCUUUUUUGCUUGGUUUCCAUUAGGCAGAAGCCAAAAACCAUGUCGGCUUCCCUGACAGAUCUCAAUCAUGCAGAUUUCCAGAACAAAGGAUUUGCUACAUUGUGCCUUCCUAUGGAAACCCUGGUGGCAUAGUGGUUAAGUGUUACAGCUGCUAACCAAGAGGUCGGCA